rnacentral:rRNA from 1 species
UACGUAGGGGGCAAGCGUUGUCCGGAUUUAUUGGGCGUAAAGAGCGUGUAGGCGGCCAGGUAGGUCUGCUGUGAAAACUCGAGGCUUAACCUCGAGCUGUCGGCGGAAACCAUCUGGCUAGAGUCCGGAAGAGGAGAAUGGAAUUCCCGGUGUAGCGGUGAAAUGCGCAGAUAUCGGGAAGAACACCCGUGGCGAAGGCGGCCUUCUGGACAGCGACUGACGCUGAGACGCGAAAGCGUGGGGAGCAAACAGG